AUUGAACGCUGGCGGCAUGCUUUACACAUGCAAGUCGAACGGCAGCGCGGGCUUCGGCCUGGCGGCGAGUGGCGAACGGGUGAGUAAUGCAUCGGAACGUGCCCAGUAGUGGGGGAUAGCCCGGCGAAAGCCGGAUUAAUACCGCAUACGACCUGAGGGUGAAAGCGGGGGACCGAAAGGCCUCGCGCUAUUUGAGCGGCCGAUGUCGGAUUAGCUAGCUGGUGGGGUAAAGGCUUACCAAGGCGGCGAUCCGUAGCUGGUCUGAGAGGACGACCAGCCACACUGGGACUGAGACACGGCCCAGACUCCUACGGGAGGCAGCAGUGGGGAAUUUUGGACAAUGGGGGCAACCCUGAUCCAGCCAUGCCGCGUGCGGGAAGAAGGCCUUCGGGUUGUAAACCGCUUUUGUUCGGGAAGAAAUCCUCUGGGCUAAUACCCCGGGGGGAUGACGGUACCGGAAGAAUAAGCACCGGCUAACUACGUG
rnacentral:rRNA from 1 species